rnacentral:rRNA from 1 species
UGGGGAAUAUUGCACAAUGGGGGAAACCCUGAUGCAGCGACGCCGCGUGAAGGAAGAAGUAUCUCGGUAUGUAAACUUCUAUCAGCAGGGAAGAUAAUGACGGUACCUGACUAAGAAGCCCCGGCUAACUACGUGCCAGCAGCCGCGGUAAUACGUAGGGGGCAAGCGUUAUCCGGAUUUACUGGGUGUAAAGGGAGCGUAGGCGGCGGAGCAAGUCAGAAGUGAAAGCCCGGGGCUCAACCCCGGGACGGCUUUUGAAACUGCCCUGCUUGAUUUCAGGAGAGGUAAGCGGAAUUCCUAGUGUAGCGGUGAAAUGCGUAGAUAUUAGGAGGAACACCAGUGGCGAAGGCGGCUUACUGGACUGACAAUGACGCUGAGGCUCGAAAGCGUGGGGAGCAAACAGG